rnacentral:rRNA from 1 species
GAUGAACGCUGGCGGCGUGCCUAAUACAUGCAAGUCGAGCGAACAGACGAGGAGCUUGCUCCUCUGACGUUAGCGGCGGACGGGUGAGUAACACGUGGAUAACCUACCUAUAAGACUGGGAUAACUUCGGGAAACCGGAGCUAAUACCGGAUAAUAUAUUGAACCGCAUGGUUCAAUAGUGAAAGACGGUUUUGCUGUCACUUAUAGAUGGAUCCGCGCCGCAUUAGCUAGUUGGUAAGGUAACGGCUUACCAAGGCAACGAUGCGUAGCUGACCUGAGAGGGUGAUCGGCCACACUGGAACUGAGACACGGUCCAGACUCCUACGGGAGGCAGCAGUAGGGAAUCUUCCGCAAUGGGCGAAAGCCUGACGGAGCAACGCCGCGUGAAUGAUGAAGGUCUUCGGAUCGUAAAACUCUGUUAUUAGGGAAGUACAAAUGUGUAAGUAACUAUGCACGUCUUGACGGUACCUAAUCAGAAAGCCACGGCUAACUACGUG